CCUUAUGCAUGCAAGUUGAGCGAAGCUUUUUGGUAGUUUACUACUAGAAAUGACUGAGCGGCGAACGGGUGAGUAACGCGUGAGCAAUCUACCUUAGUUACUGGGAUAGCCCGAGGAAACUCGGAUUAAUACCGGAUAUUCUUAUUUUUUCACAUGAAGUUUUAAGGAAAGGUCAGCCGAACUAAGAUGAGCUCGCGUUCUAUCAGCUAGUUGGUGGGGUAAAAGCCUACCAAGGCUACGACGGAUAGCUGGUCUGAGAGGACGAUCAGCCACACUGGGACUGAGACACGGCCCAGGCUCCUACGGGAGGCUGCAGCAGGGAAUAUUGUGCAAUGAGCGAAAGCUUGACACAGCGACACCGCGUGUGGGAUGACGGUUCUAGGAUUGUAAACCACUUUCAGGAGGGAAGAAAAUGACGGUACCUCCACAAGAAGACCCGGCCAACUAUGUGCCAGCAGCCGCGGUAAUACAUAGGGGUCAAGCGUUGUCCGGAUUUAUUGGGCGUAAAGAGCUCGUAGGCGGUUCAACAAGUCGGUCGUAAAAGUUUAGGGCUCAACCCUAAAAUGUCGAUCGAUACUGUUGUGACUAGGAUACGGUAGAGGUGAAUGGAAUUCCGAGUGUAGCGGUGAAAUGCGUAGAUAUUCGGAGGAACACAAAUUGCGAAGGCAGUUCACUGGACCGUGAUCGACGCUGAGGAGCGAAAGCUAGGGGAGCAAACAGGAUUAGAUACCCUGGUAGUCCUAGCUGUAAACGAUGGAUACUAGAUGUAGGAACUGGAUUGACGGUUUCUGUAUCGUAGCUAACGCGUUAAGUAUCCCGCCUGGGGAGUACGGUCGCAAGACUAAAACUCAAAGGAAUUGACGGGACCCCGCACAAGCGGCGGAGCAUGCGGCUUAAUUCGAUGAUACCCGUAGAACCUUACCUGGACUUGACAUAUAGGGAAAAACUGGAGAAAUCCAGUGUGCGUAAGCGCCCUAUACAGGUGGUGCAUGGCUGUCGUCAGCUCGUGUCGUGAGAUGUUGGGUUAAGUCCGCAACGAGCGCAACCCCUGUCCUAUGUUGCCAGCAAGUAAUGUUGGGGACUCAUAGGGGACUGCCGGUGAUAAACCGGAGGAAGGUGGGGACGACGUCAAGUCAUCAUGCCCCUUAUGUCCAGGGCUGCACGCAUGCUACAAUGGCAAGUACAACGAGUCGCAAUACCGCGAGGUGGAGCAAAUCUCUUAAAGCUUGUCUCAGUUCGGAUAGGAGUCUGCAACCCGACUCCUUGAAGUUGGAGUCGCUAGUAAUCGCAAAUCAGCAAAGUUGCGGUGAAUACGUUCUCGGGGUUUGUACACACCGCCCGUC
rnacentral:rRNA from 1 species